rnacentral:rRNA from 1 species
UGGGGAAUAUUGCACAAUGGGGGAAACCCUGAUGCAGCGACGCCGCGUGAGUGAAGAAGUAUUUCGGUAUGUAAAGCUCUAUCAGCAGGGAAGAAAAUGACGGUACCUGACUAAGAA